rnacentral:rRNA from 1 species
UACGUAGGGUCCGAGCGUUGUCCGGAAUUAUUGGGCGUAAAGGGCUCGUAGGCGGUUUGUCGCGUCUGCUGUGAAAACCCGAGGCUCAACCUCGGGCCUGCAGUGGGUACGGGGCAGACUAGAGUGCGGGUAGGGGAGAUUGGAAUUCCUGGUGUAGCGGUGGAAUGCGCAGAUAUCAGGAGGAACACCAAGUGGCGAAGGCAGAUCUCUGGGCCGUAACUGGCGCUGAGGAGCGAAAGCAUGGGGAGCGAACAGG